AGAGUUUGAUCCUGGCUCAGAUUGAACGCUGGCGGCAGGCCUAACACAUGCAAGUCGAGCGGCAGCGCGGGGUAACCUGGCGGCGAGCGGCGAACGGGUGAGUAAUACAUGGGAAUCUGCCUAGUAGUGGGGGAUAACUUCGGGAAACUGGAGGUAAUACCGCAUACGCCCUACGGGGGAAAGCAGGGGAUCUUCGGACCUUGCGCUAUUAGAUGAGCCUGCGUCCGAUUAGCUAGUUGGUGGGGUAAAGGCCUACCAAGGCGACGAUCGGUAACUGGUCUGAGAGGAUGAUCAGUCACACUGGAACUGAGACACGGUCCAGACUCCUACGGGAGGCAGCAGUGGGGAAUAUUGGACAAUGGGCGCAAGCCUGAUCCAGCCAUGCCGCGUGUGUGAAGAAGGCCUUCGGGUUGUAAAGCACUUUAAGCGGGGAGGAAGGCCUGAUGGCUAAUAUCCAUCAGGAUUGACGUUACCCGCAGAAUAAGCACCGGCAAACUUCGUG
rnacentral:rRNA from 1 species